rnacentral:siRNA from 1 species
UGCGUGAUUUCCUCCACAACUCCA